rnacentral:lncRNA from 1 species
UCUUGUAUAAUGAAACCAGAAUGAUCUCCUCAGUGAGGCAUGCUUGUGUUUUACCUGUGGAAUGGAACAUCCUAAAGGAAGAUCUCCCUGGAUGCAUCAGGACCAAUUUCUUUUCAAGGGAGUCGAGUAAGGACAUGUAGAGAUGGAUCUCUCCAUGAAUGGAGCUCAACUAAGGAAGAAAUUGAAAGACACAUUCCAGGUGCAAAUAUUGACUCUCCAAAGGAACGUGUAAGAACAAACUUGUAAAUUGGUGUGUCUCCAGAUCAGUAGCUGUUAAAAAGUGAUACAGCCCUUGAUCAUUAUUAAAGUUUAAAUAAUCUUUUGCUUUGAUUCGCAUCAGGUUUUAAAUAUGAUGCUUGAGAAAGAUUGAGAGUAAGAGAAAUCUAUAGCAACUAAAAAAUCCUUUCUAAUUGUAAAUUUUCAUUUCACUUAUAUGCAAAUUUCAGUUACUGUGUUCUUAGCAAUCGAAUUCUUAGAUCACAAACAUGAAUGAGGACUCUAAGAAAAAUAUCAAACUUUUAUGUGAAAUUUGUUCUUUGUGCCUUUCUUCUUUCUGGCACUUUCAUAUUUAGUCAUCAUAUUUCCUAUUUUGCUUGCUUAAUUGCCACAUACAACAAGAUUAGCCGACGGGGAAAGAAAACAUCUCAUUUGAGGGCAGUGAAGGAAAGGCCCUUUCUCUCUCUCUCACACACACACACACACACACACUGGAGGAGGGUUAUCUGCAUGCAGAUGCUCAUUUGGAAUUCAGAACAUUUUUUCCCACAGAAAUAAGAAACUAUAAUAGUAUAAGUAUAUAGUUUACCUUCAUUAUAAGUUAAAAUAAGAGUUUGUGGGCUGGCCUGGAAAUACACCAUUUUAUAACGUUGUACACAUGGGAGAAUUUCACUCUGAAAUCUAAACGGCUGUUUUCAAAAGAAACUAUUAGAGCACACUGCGUUGUCUGGGUCUGCCUCUGCCCGCCCUCCGCCCUGCUCAGGGCUGUGCUCAGCAGCGUGGAGAAGACAAGGAAGAAAGAGACCUGGUUCCUGAUCUCAAGGCAUUUGCAGUUGACAUUGAGAGACAGGGCCGACAACGAAAAGAUGAUUAUUACAAGAGGGAAAUGGUAUGCGUCCCCUCUCCCAAGUAACAUUGGAAUACAUUCAUUUAUCUGUUCAUUCAGCAUCUGUUUCUUGACUUUACAGUAAUUAUCUCUCUUUUUUAUAUUUUAAAUGAUAUUUCUAAUGUAAAUAAUACAUGAUUUCCAUAGACUGUUAGAGCAACACAGACUUAUUUGUAAUGACAAAAUCAGAAAGAACUUGAAUGUCUGCUGGCAACUGAAGGAUUGAAUAAAGUAUGGUUGAUCAUCCUAUGGAAUGUUAUGCACCAAUAAAAAAGAACAAAUUAAGAAUGUCUGUUGAUCUGGAGAGGGGACCAGGAUGCAUUAUAAAGAAUAAAAAUAAAGAUGCAAAGAAAUAUUCAUAUUAUGAUCUUUUUGCAAACACAACAGUGACCCCCCUCCCCCCAAAAAAGUUUGAAUUAAAAGGUAUAAAGGGGGGGACCAGCCAGGUGGCAUAGUGGUUAAGCUUACGCACUCUGCUUUGGUGGCCUGGGGUUCACAGGUUCAGAUCCUGGGCACAGACCUAGCACCACCCACAUAAAAAACAUACAGGAAGACUGGCACAGAUGUUAGCUCAGCAACAAUCUUCCUCACAAAAAAAGGAAAAAAAAAGGAUAAGGGUGUAUACACAAAGCUGUUAAUAUUGGUCACCUUGAGGACAGGUGGGUUACUAAUGUUUUUCUUCAUUUAUCUUCAGCUUGGGGGAAAAAUGAUAAUUUUAAAACAAAAUGAAAAUUUGGAAAUACAGAGUGGAUUAAAGAGAAAAAGUAAAAUCACUUUGAUUUGAUUUCUAUUUUGUUAAAUGUGUGUGUGUGUGUGUGUGUAUGUGUGAACUGCCCUGGAUAAUUAAU